rnacentral:rRNA from 1 species
UUGCGCUCUUGGAGCGGCCGAUGUCUGAUUAGCUAGUUGGUGAGGUAAUGGCUUACCAAGGCGACGAUCAGUAGCUGGUCUGAGAGGACGACCAGCCACACUGGGACUGAGACACGGCCCAGACUCCUACGGGAGGCAGCAGUGGGGAAUUUUGGACAAUGGGGGAAACCCUGAUCCAGCCAUGCCGCGUGAGUGAAGAAGGCCUUCGGGUUGUAAAGCUCUUUCAGCCGGAACGAAACGGUCACGGCUAAUACCUGUGAUCACUGACGGUACCGGAAGAAGAAGCACCGGCUAACUACGUGCCAGCAGCCGCGGUAAUACGUAGGGUGCGAGCGUUAAUCGGAAUUACUGGGCGUAAAGCGUGCGCAGGCGGUUUUGUAAGUCAGAUGUGAAAUCCCCGGGCUUAACCUGGGAACUGCGUUUGAAACUACAAGGCUAGA